rnacentral:misc_RNA from 1 species
GAUGAAGACGUAGUGAAAUGCGAUAAGUAAUGUGAAUUGCAGAAUUCAGUGAAUCAUCGAAUCUUUGAACGCACAUUGCGCCCGCCAGUAUUCUGGCGGGCAUGCCUGUUCGAGCGUCAUUACAACCCUCAGGCCCCCGGGCCUGGCGUUGGGGAUCGGCGGAGCCCCCCGUGGGCACACGCCGUCCCCCAAAUGCAGUGGCGGUCCCGCCGCAGCUUCCAUCGCGUAGUAGCUAACACCUCGCGACUGGAGAGCGGCGCGGCCACGCCGUAAAACACCCAACUCUUCUGAAGUUGACCUCGAAUCAGGUAGGAAUACCCGCUGAACUUAAGCAUAUCAAUAAGCGGAGGA